AAACCAUGUUGAAUAGGGCACAACAAUCUGACGCCAAAUUUCCCAUUAAAAUUUCGUGAAAACCAAAUUCACCCCUAGUUUAACUCGUUAAAUUUCUCUUCUCUGUUCCUCCUUCUGCUUCAGGUUCUAACCCUAGUUUCGCAUUCAUCAGAUUUUUCUUCUGGAAUUCAUCUGAGAUUUUGAGAUCUGUUGUCAAUGGAAGCUUGUCAGUACACGGAAGAAACCUUAGAAGCUGCCAUCAGAAAAUUUGAAGGCUUCGACAAGACUCUUGUGUUUAAACCAUCUCGUGAUAUGGCUGCAACUAAAAGCACUAAAGACCUGUAUUUUGAGGAGAUGGAAAGGUAUAUGCAGGCAAACCUUGCUUCCUCGGUAAAAAUUCGAACUUCCUAUAGAUUGCUCAGGGGUUAUUUUGGGACGGAAGAUGUUUUUAACAAAAUAGGUGAUGUUGUAAGACCUUCCACUCCGGUGAAACUGCAGUUGGAAACUAAUGUGCAAGAUAUUAUUAAGUUAACUAACAUCACAAUCUGUCCCAAGAUAGGAGGGCAAGGUGGAAGACCAUUAUGGGUACCCUCGAAGCGCAUGUGAAUGGGUUUGGGUAUAAAACCUCCAGUGCCCAUCCCCAUAUAGAUGUUAUGUACGAGAACAUAAAGUGUCCUUUCUUCCGAGCUGGAGAUCAUGAGAUAACGCCUCUCUUGCACUUUCACUUGCACAACCAGAUCAUGUUGGGGACAGAAGAGACUAAUAAUAUCCAUUUCCAGUUGGAGUCGACCCCUGUUGUACAGACUGAUGACCGUAACAAAGAUCUCCAGGACUUUGUUGACAAAGUUACAGAUUUGUGGGAAUCCGAGCCUAUAGUUAUCAAUUAUUUUGAACCGCCGGAGUACGAAUUUCAUGGUUUUUUCCCCACAGGGGCUCGGGCUGUCUUUGCACUGACUUUAUUUUUCCUAGUAGAGCUUGUAGAAACAAAUCACAUUGUGGUUAAACUAGACGAGAUCGAGAUUGUCUAUCUGGCACUGAUAUAACAGUGGUAUUCAAAGACUUCAGUCGUGAUGUGCUUCAAAUCAACUCAAUUCCAUUAGAGUUACUAGCUAAUAUUAAACAUCGUCUGACCUGUUCGAACGUCAAGUACUAUCAGAACAAGCAAAAACUAAAUUGGAACGACGAAGUGAAAAAAUUCAGAGAUUCGCCGCAGAAGUUCAUCAUAAAUGGUGGGUGGGAGUCCUUGAACCUUGAGACUGGUGAUGCUUGCGACUGUUACUACUGGGAAGAAGAUGGUGAAUUGAUUUACGAGGAUUGGUGAUGCUUGAGACUGUUACUACUGGGAAGAAGAUGGUGAUUUAGUUGAAGAGGAUUGGUGAUGCUUGUGACGGUUACUACCGGGAAUAAGAUGGUGUUUUUGAUGAGGAGAAUCAGUGAUGCUUGUGACUGUUACUACUGGGAAGAAGUUGGUGAUAGCUGAGAUAAAUUCAGCUUAUACGAGGUCCAUGAAAGCAACACCCAGUAUAGGUUGUGCCAAUAAUAUAUUCUGUUGGAGGCAUCACACAGAUCCUGUAAGAAAAAGCUGCUGGUGGAAGAUGGAUAAUGCGUUAAAGAUUGUACUGAUGUUGUAGAGCAGUACACAAAAAGGAUGAAGCAAAUGAACUCCCUGGUGCAUGGAAGCAACACCCUGUAUAGCUUGUGCCGGUAAUAUCUAUUCUGUUGGAGAAGAUGGAUGAUCCAUUAGAAAUUGUAAACGAUGCUAUAGAGAAGCACACAAAUGUGAUAAAGCAAAUGAAAGACUCCCUGGAGUGAAACCAGAGUAAUUAUCAGAGAGUCUCCAUCCCAGGCAUUGUGCUGGUCACUUGUUGGGAACCCAGUACCCAGAGAUUAAUACACUUAUGAAUGAGCUGCACCGAAGAAGGAUUUCUUCUUUCCCUGUAACCAAUGCCAGUUAGUUCCCUGAAGGCUGAAACCUAUAACUCAGGAAUCAAUAGAAGCUCUUGUUGCAAAAGAACAGUGAGCAGUUUACCGCCUUUCUUUGGUUAAAAGAUGGUAUGGGAUCAUUGCCAACUAGACAACCAUUAAAUGUUAGGACUUCUGAUGAUUCCAGACAUCCAUUAAAUGUGGAAGCAGUUGGUUACUUAGAAAGUUGUAAUGUCAGUGGAGCGGUGCUCUGAAAAAUGGUACUGUGGAUAUGGUUGAGAACAGUGUCGUCCCAGAUUUUUUUUUUCCCAAUGGACUCUGGCGAGUAGGAUGUUUCAUUGGCAUUACCUCACAAUUUUGCCAAGUGUUGGGCCGAAGUGAGCCUGUCUCUCUUUCUGGUGCACUAAAAGCAGAACCAUUUUUUUUGGGACCAUAGUUUUUUUUUUGUGGGACCAUGGUUCUGUUUUAGACAAGACAUUAUAAAUAAUCCUAAAUCAUCCCUUAUCUAAAUGUUUUUCUUAAUAUCA